rnacentral:lncRNA from 1 species
GUUUUAACGAUGCCGAUUAGCAACCUUGGUGAGAGUAAACUAACACGUACGUAGACAUUCAAUUUUUACCCUCCCUUUUUCGCAAAAAGAAAAAUCUUACCGGAGAACAGAAACCCAAAUUCUGUAAUCCAAAGAUCCUUGUUUAAGGUCGCGUGGAUUCUCGAGGUCUUUGGUUGGGCGGGUAGUUAAAAGUAAAAUACAUUUGUCUGAGGUAUGGUUUCAUUUGCUUACUUGCGGAUUCGAUUUGCCAGACCCAUGGGUUUGCUUUGUUAGCAGAAUUAGUUUUGCAUUCCGUUGGUUUACAUUUAAGAGCACAAGAUCUAGUUCAUAGAAGGGGUGUGUGUGUGUGUUGGGUUUGGGGGGGGGGGGGGGACAAGAACCUAUGUUGAAAGAGACAAGGCUGACAAUUGAGCUACUACAUUCCACUUAUCAAGUUAAGUUAGUGUCACACAAAUUUUGUAGGUUGUGUGAGGCUCAAAAUAAAAUUUCUCUGCAAGUAACGGAAUUCACACUUACAAAUACAGUUUUCAGCUUGAUAUGCCAACUGGAAAUCCUUAAGUAUUAGGUACACCUCCUAAACUAAAAAUCUACUUGAAGAGAAAUAAUGUUUGAGCAUAUACCAUAUUGGUCAGAAAUAUAUGGCUAUUGCUCGCAUCCACGUGAUGAAAGAGGUCCGAAAUAUUACUGCCACUAUCCAAAUGUUAAAGACAAUCAACAUGUUACAUCAUAAAGCAAUGUUUCUAUCGUCAUUUCAGCACCAUCCAGGAAAUGUAGAUAAAUGUCAUGUAUCAGGAAUGGAAUUUUAUGUACAAUAUUCUCUCUUUUUUAUAUAAUAAUUACUUUUUUGUAGUUCCUACUUACUAUUCAGAUUUAGGUGGACCAAAGUGUGAGGAUUUACUUGUUCUUUACAAUCAAUGGGUGAACAGCGGCUUCUUGUAUGCAUGGCUAAGCACAAAAUGCUAGACAUAAGGUUACACAUGACUAUUACAGCAAAAACAUAUAAUAAAGUUACAGAUUCCUGAAUAAUGACUCAAAUCAAACCUGUUAAGAGAGACUGGAUGUGAGCCAGGAAAAUGUGUGCCUCUGCCCUGAAAGACAAAUACAAAAGGACUUAAGAGUUAGAAUAGAACAGAAGAGAAAUCACUAUUUUGCAGAAAUCACAACUGCAGAACAGAAAGUGAGUCCAUCGCAAGACCAGAAAUUAUAGAACGCGCAUAAACAGAAGAGAUCAUUGUAUACAGAUUCCAUCCAACUAUCAAAGAAAGACACCAAAUGAACCGACCGCAAAAUUCAUACCCUUGGGGUCAUUUUCAGUGCUUGAUAACAGAACUGUCGCAAAUCAUCUUGCUGAUCUUGUGGGACUGCAUCACCCAGGAUGUCGUCAUUUGACAAUGAUAUUUGUGUUUCGCGAUUAUCCUGAAAAGGCAGAAAAUGAGUUAUGAGGAAAUUCUAAAAGCUCUGUAAGGAUAAACCGUACUGCAAGCCCGAAGUAUAGAUACCAAAACUCCAACAUGUUGGUACAGAGAUGUAAUCACGAGGAGCUAUAACCGUGGUAUCAGCAUUAUCAUGCUGAGAUCUAUACUCCUAGUUUGACCAGCAUCGUUUGAAUAGAUUAUUACAUAAAGUUUUAUUGAAAAUUGUUUGUUUUAGACAAAUUCGGCAAGCGCCAAGUGGAACAGCUAGCUGGUAAGAUGUCAAAUCAAGUUUUAAGUAAUGUAAGUUUUUAUUAUUUUAUAUUUUGAACAGAGAGUUUUCAUUUAAUGAAGGAGGCCAUGUUUUCUGGGACAAAACUAAGGAAAAGCAAAAUCUGGUUUCAGUAUGGAGAGAGUAGUAGAUUAGGCCAGAUCGAGAAAGAACUAGUUCUUCUAAAAGAACAGCAUGAUUUCACAUCCAGAAUGCGGGGUGUAAUUUAUAAUCAAGAUUGAUUAUAGUUGCAGCAUGCCAAAGACCUCCUCCUCACUUAAAUACACUCCUCGCGAUCCCCGCAUUCAUAAUCAAUCUUCAUUAUAAAUUACACCCCGCAUUCUGGAUGUGAAAUCAUGUUGUUCUUUUAAAAGAACAACUAGUUCUUUCUUGAUCUGGCCUAAUCUACUACUCUCUCCAUACUGAGAAACCAGAUUUUGCUUUUCCUUUGUUCUGUUCCACAACAAAGCACCUACUUCUCUCCUGGCCCAGCCCACACCCUGUUCUCUACUCCACUAGGCCCACCUCUCUUGCUCAACUCUCUGGAUCUCGCAGUCAAAGUUUGCCUUUUGGGAAUCUAAACUUUUAAACAGCAAAAGGUGAAUCAAAUCGUACACCGAAAAAUAUAUAUAGUUGAAUGUCUGCCCACACUCUUUCUUCUAUGAAUAUGCUAUCCUAAAAGUUGACCAUUCUGCAACCAUUUUGGUAGGAAGCACCAAAGAUUAAAGCUUAAAAGAAGAGGCCAAUGGUGAUUGCAUAUAAACACCAAAAUGUACUUUCCCCAUAAAAGAUUAGAGAAAAGGAAGGACUAACCUCGUUUAUGUUUUAGAAGGUCAGCAAAUAUGACACUAUUUGGAUGUGCAUUCUUCUAAUUUCCCAUCCGAAACACUCUUUACCAAGCUGAAAAGUUUUUCUAAGUUCUAAGCUAUGUUUGGAUCCUUCAAAAUUCCGCCAUAUCAGACGGAUCUUCCAAAGAUGCAUAACUUUUGGAGGACCCGACACACACCUAGCGGCAUUUUGGAGGAUCCGAGCAACAUAGAUUCUAAGCAAAGUUAGAUCUCUUCUACCACUUUUGAGCACCUUGUCAAGCUUUUAAGAAAACUAGAUAUCUUCUAGAGCAAGUCUUCCUUUAAAUAGGAGGACAAUGAAUAGGUAACAGCGUGCUUGUUCAAAAAAGAAAAGCUUGUUCAAAAAUGAAUAGGUAACAGCAUGAAGGCACAAAAGCUGAAAAUGCAAAUACGAAAUAUAGCAAUAUACUGAGUUCUGAGGAACUAUAUGACAAAUCCCUCUGACAAGAACCAACAAUCCUCAUCCUCAUCCUUCCAUUUUUUCUAGUAGAAAAUAUUUACAUCACAUUUAGGCACUCAUGUUGGACAAGGAGGAGGAAAUGGAAGGUGUGAAAAACAAUUCUUACGCAUUAACUUUUGUACUUAUCUCAGACUUAAUUAAAUAGAUAAAGCAGUAUCGGAGAUCAUUUUUCUAUUAUCAUUCCAGAAUUGGAACGUGGGUGGAAUAAAGAAAAUUACAUAGGAGUCAGAUUCUGACCUAAAACUAGUUUGAGAUUGAAGCAUAGUUGAUUGAUUGAUUGAUCGUAUCAAGAUUCUAAGGAAAAGAAGUUGUCACUCUAAGAAUACCAUAUCAAUAUUUGCUGGUUCAAAUUUCACCGAGGCAAAAAGAAGCCAUACUCAAUAUUAAGACCAGACAUGGAAGGCAUCUCAAGUUUGACGGAAGGAGAUUCCUAUAAGGUAGCUGAAAUAGCCUUGACAAGCAAUCAGGCUUAAUGGCCAGACAAUGCCUCUUAAGAAGCUUCGUGUCACAACUCGCACUUUGGAGUUGUGAUUUUGGCCAAGAACUGGUGAGAAAAGGCUCUUCUGAUUGUCUGACGUAGAUCUGUCUACUCGGGCAACUUGGGCUUUUAAAUUUUAAGCAUAUAUAAGGGGUAUAGGUGAUGAAAGCUCCGACCUGCCUCCCCCAUGUAUAGAACGAGCUACCUUGGGGGCAACCUCAAAGGCCUGCCUAAAUGACUCAAAGGAGUGUCAAAGGUAUCCAUACGAGUUUGGGAACUCUAUGGACGGCGCGACACCUUCGGGCUAGCGUUGGGCAUCAAAGUGGCGCUGGAGGUUCGAUGCGUGGGACGGCCAGCCCCGCAGGUUGCCGAAUGUUGGAAGGAGACCUCCGUGCCGAUUGGAUACUUGACGCACCUGUCAUAGGGUCAUCAUGUGUCGACUUGCGAGCAUGGCUUAGGUUCAACCAUGCAAACAAGGGUCCGUUGGCCUAAAGGUGCAGUUGUGGGGCGACACUGCACUAUUCGGGAUGAAAGUGUGUCGCGAGGGCAAUGUAUGGGCAUGGCACGAAAGACGCGCAUGACAAUGGCCAAGGACUAAAGGUUGCCUUACUCGGGCGAGGCACGAGCUAGUUGCGGAUG